rnacentral:rRNA from 1 species
AGAGUUUGAUCCUGGCUCAGGACGAACGCUGGCGGCGUGGAUUAGGCAUGCAAGUCGAGCGGCAAGGUUCCUUCGGGAACCCUAGAGCGGCGAACGGGUGAGUAACACGUGAACAAUCUGUCCCUACAUUCCGGAUAAUUCGCCGAAAGGCGUUGUAAUACGGGGGAGGAUCACUCUUUGGCAUCUUAGAGUGAGGGAAGGCGCAAGCCGUGCAGGGGGGAGUUCGCGGCCUAUCAGGUAGUUGGUGGGGUAAUGGCCUACCAAGCCGACGACGGGUAGCUGGUCUGAGAGGAUGGUCAGCCACAUUGGAACUGAGACACUGUCCAGACUCCUACGGGAGGCUGCAGUCGAGAAUCUUGGGCAAUGCACGAAAGUGUGACCCAGCGACGCCGCGUGAAGGAUGAAGGCCCUCUGGGUCGUAAACUUCUUUUAUGGGGAAAGAAUAAAUGACGGUACCCCAUGAAUAAGCCACGGCUAACUACGUGCCAGCAGCCGCGGUAAUACGUAGGUGGCAAGCGUUGUCCGGAUUUACUGGGCGUAAAGCGUAUGCAGGCGGAUGUUUAAGUAAGAAGUGAAAGGUUGCAGCUCAACUGCGACACUGCUUCUUAUACUGGGCAUCUUGAGUGGCGGAGAGGGAGAUGGAACGACACGUGUAGCGGUGAAAUGCGUUGAUAUGUGUCGGAACACCAAUGGCGAAAGCAAUCUCCUGGACGCAAACUGACGCUGAGAUACGAAAGCUAAGGUAGCAAACAGGAUUAGAUACCCCCGUAGUCC